UACAGAGGGUGCGAGCGUUGUCCGGAAUUACUGGGCGUAAAGGGCGCGUAGGCGGCUUGGUAAGUCGGGGGUGAAAGUCAGCGGCUCAACCGCUGGACUGCCUUCGAGACUGCCUGGCUUGAGCAUGGUAGAGGCUGGCGGAAUUCCCGGUGUAGCGGUGGAAUGCGUAGAGAUCGGGAAGAACAUCGGUGGCGAAGGCGGCCAGCUGGGCCAUUGCUGACGCUGAUGCGCGAC
rnacentral:rRNA from 1 species